rnacentral:rRNA from 1 species
UACAGAGGGGGCAAGCGUUGUUCGGAAUUGCUGGGCGUAAAGGGCGCGUAGGCGGCCUUCUAAGUCAGACGUGAAAUCCCCGGGCUCAACCCGGGAACUGCGUCUGAUACUGGAGGGCUUGAAUCCGGGAGAGGGAUGUGGAAUUCCAGGUGUAGCGGUGAAAUGCGUAGAUAUCUGGAGGAACACCGGUGGCGAAGGCGGCAUCCUGGACCGGUAUUGACGCUGAGGCGCGAAAGCCAGGGGAGCAAACGGG